rnacentral:tRNA from 1 species
CAGUAGGUAGCUCAGUUUGCGGAGCGGAGGACUGUAGAACCGCAACAAUCCUUAGGUCUCCGGUUCGAAUCCGGCUCGACGGA